rnacentral:rRNA from 1 species
GAUGAACGCUAGCGGCAGGCCUAAUACAUGCAAGUCGGACGGGAUUCAGGAGCUUGCUUCUGAUGAGAGUGGCGCACGGGUGCGUAGCACGUAUGUAACCUACCUUUAUCAGGGGGAUAGCCUCUCGAAAGAGAGAUUAAGCCCGCAUAAAAUCACAGCACAGCAUUGUGUAAUGAUCAAAUAUUUAUAGGAUAAAGAUGGGCAUGCGGAACAUUAGCUAGAUGGCGGGGUAACGGCCCACCAUGGCGACGAUGUUUAGGGGAUCUGAGAGGAUGGCCCCCCACACUGGUACUGAGACACGGACCAGACUCCUACGGGAGGCAGCAGUAAGGAAUAUUGGUCAAUGGGCGGAAGCCUGAACCAGCCAUGCCGCGUGCAGGAAGACGGCCCUACGGGUUGUAAACUGCUUUUAUACGGGAAUAAACCCAGAUACGUGUAUCUGGCUGAAUGUACUGUAAGAAUAAGGAUCGGCUAACUCCGUG